CGCAAGACUCUGCAGCACUUUGUGCAGAACUGAUUUCCUGCCUCUGACCUGCCUGUCUUGUCUGAUUCCUGAUCCUCUGCCUGGCCAUGACCUACCUUCUGCCUGUCCCCUACUGUGCUGCAUUUGGGUCCAAACACGCUGCGUGACAAGAACCUUGACCUUGAACCCGCCAACAUGAUGGUCACAUUGAAACAAAUGUCGCGGUACUGUCAGUCUGCACAUGGCCUUG